UGGGGAAUAUUGGACAAUGGGCGCAAGCCUGAUCCAGCCAUGCCGCGUGAGUGAUGAAGGCCCUAGGGUUGUAAAGCUCUUUCACCGGUGAAGAUAAUGACGGUAACAGGAGAAGAAGCCCCGGCUAACUUCGUGCCAGCAGCCGCGGUAAUACGAAGGGGGCAAGCGUUGUUCGGAUUUACUGGGCGUAAAGCGCACGUAGGCGGACGUUUAAGUCAGGGGUGAAAUACCGGGGGUCAACCCCGGAACUGCCUUUGAUACUGGAAGUCUUGAGUGUGGUAGAGGUGAGUGGAAUUCCGGGUGUGGAGGGGAAAUUCGUAGAUAUUCGGAGGAAAACCAGUGGCGAAGGCGGCUCACUGGACCAUUACUGACGCUGAGGUGCGAAAGCGUGGGGAGCAAACAGG
rnacentral:rRNA from 1 species